AAUGGCUUGGAAAGGCCAACCACAGAGGGUGACAGUCCCGUAAGUGAAAGAUGAGCAGUCUCUCGAGGAGUACCUGAGUAGGUCGAGCCACGUGGAAUCUCGACUGAAUCUACGGGGACCAUCCCGUAAGGCUAAAUACUCUCUGAUGACCGAUAGUGAACUCAGUAUGGCGACUGAAAGAUGAGAAGAACCCCUGCUAGGGGAGGAAUGUGAACCUGAAACCAUACGCCUACAAGCGGUCGGAGCACU
rnacentral:rRNA from 1 species